rnacentral:lncRNA from 12 species
CGGGCGCACACGCGUCCCUGCGCCCGCCGCGCGCCCACGCACGGGGCAUCCACGCGCUGGCCGCCCUCACGGCAGACGGUCGGGGGAUGGGGCGGAAGGCGGGGAGGGGGGGAGGUCGCUUCUUAAAAUCCAGGGGCUCUCCUAGCUAAGGAGAUGGCCGCAGGGUGGCAAGAGGAGUUAGACCGCCGUCUCUCCUCCCGCUGUUUUUUAGAAGAAGCAUUAAGUACAAUUAGAAAGGAAACACCUCCCUGUCCCUUCUUCCCGCAGGACCACAGGACAGGAGUGGGCGGCGGCAGGCGGAUCUGGGGAGGAGAGUCAAACUGAUGCAGGAGCCGGGAUGCCCAGGGAGGAAGGCCUGCCUCGGCUGUGGCUGGGUGGCAGUGAGGGCUUCCCCAAGGUGGUCCUGGAGCUCAGAGGGGCCAAGGAGACGGAGCACACCUCCCCAGAGUUUCUCCAGUGAUCCUGAAAAGGACCAUCCGCGAUGCCACCGACCGUCGGAUUCGAUGACUUCCCACUGGUUCGGGAGCUGGCUUUGGCUACCUUGGGGACCCGCAGCCCUCCGCACCUCCCUCCGCAAGUUCAUUGCUAAAUGAUUUGCAAACUUAAACGAUUAUAAUUGUUCCCUUGCCUCGGCCCAAAGAAAUCCUGCUAAGACAAGAGCCUGAUUAGCAAAUCUAGCCUUCCUCUGCAUGUGGCAAAAUGCAAUAAAGAGCUAGGCUUUCUUUUUUUCUCA